AUCUGAAACUUUGACUCUCCUAACCACCUCACUCCUGAUUGUGAGGUCCUAGGGGUUCACCACAGCAGCAGGCGGCUGGUGCAGACGGCACUCUCUAGCCUCACUCACCUUCACAGCUCUUCCCGUCGGCCAGAGUUCGGUAUCCGCUGGGGCAGGUGCAACGGUUUGGCUGGCACCACUUUGAGGCUCUUGCUGGAGACAACAUCCAUGAAUCACAUCAGUUCCUGCUGAGAACAGAAGUGUCGGUGCAGGCACAGUCUACUCACUUAGGAGGGGCCAUGGCCAGCAGCUGCUGGAGCAGCUUGGUUGUAACACAUGAGUAUUUUUGUUCAAUCACCACCCUGGGGUCAAUGCCCAGGCCCCAUCUACGCUUCAAGAGAAGAAAAAUCUCCAUCUAAGAUCUCAUCCUGGACUGGCCAUCACCUUGUUCCCUGAGUUAGUCCUUCCCAAGUUUUUGAUAGCACAUGCUGCCCGAGUAGGCAUCUCCAAGGUGGGCUGCACCAUGCAGCUCUUUGGUGUGGAAGUCAGGGAAGAAGGAAAAAGGGCUACGCAGGAGGCUAUGGGGAGAUGAGAGACGAGCACAAGGUGCAUCUGGAAUGAGCUGGUACGUCCAAGGGCAAGACUCGGGAGGAUACCACGUUGGACCACGGGAAAGGUCAGUAGGCUUGCUGGACGCCUGGCAGGUGGGACCGUCUGCUCUGCACCGUGGUCCUCCAGGCAAAGUCCGCCCUCCACAUCUCAAGAAAGGGAAGUCUGCCCAGCAGGGCUGUGGGCUUUGAUCUUUGUAAGAGUUGGCUUGGCCUUCCCAAAACAUCAGGGCAAGUAGCAGUGAACGUAACGUAACGUAACGUAACGUAACAUAACAUAACAGGUGUCUUCCCUGGACAGAGAUGACACACAUACAUCUGUCUACUGUUUUGCCUGUGGCUGGCAGUCAUUCUGACUGGUUUGGGCCCAGAAUGCAUUAGCACUUCAAAAUUUUCAAUAUAUUUUCUGCUUCUGGCAAUAGCAAGAACGAACCAAGUGGUGCUUCUCAAAAUUUAGUUAACAGCAGUAUUACUCAGGGAACAUAUUAAAAAUGCAGAUGUUUUGGGUCUCAUCUAUAAAAGUCCUGACUGGAUAGGUCUUUUGAGACCUCAGAAUCUGUCUUUUAUGGGCUUCCUGGGUGACUCUGGAGCACCUGAAUGUUUGAGAUCACGGCACAAGUUAGGACGCGGCAGGACCCUCUUUUCCAUUGAGGGGGUCCUGCUGCAGCGAGGCAGGUGCAAAUGCAUAACUAAAGCACCCACGGUCAAGAAGGAAGCUCGUGGACACACCCAGGAUCCUCUAGGAAGGCAUUCUUGGCCAGCCACUAGGAUGGAGAUGGACUGUGGGGAGCGCUUUGGGUCUCCACCUUUGUCAAGUAACCACGUGUUCCUUUGCUUGAGUCACUUCUCACGACUAUGUUCCCGGGCCUCCAGUGUUUUAUAUCUAUCUCCCUAAAAAGGCAUUCUUUCUGCUAUCUUCUCUGAUGAACUCAUCUUUUCAUCUUAAUCACAUGAUGUGCAUUGUAGUAUGUCACCACUGAGGACAGAAUAUUUGGAUAAUAUCUAAGCAAGCAAGAAAAAACAGCACACACAUAAGUAAGAUGUGCUUUCACUUGCAGCACCGCUUGGGGGCGCAUGGGCAGGUGCAGCCUUUCUGCCAAGUGGCAGGCAGUGCUCAGUUCAAAGCGAGCCUGAAGCCAGUAGGCCCCCUCCAGCCACAGAUACACAGGCCAGAGACAAAGUCACACAAUAAGAAGGCCUUGUCAACAUUGUUUGUGGUGGCUGGGAGUUGACUGCAAUCAGGUGUCCAUGGCAGGGGGUGGACAGAUCAGAUGUGGGGGUGCAUGCCAGAGAGGACGAGGCACCUAUCAGAGGCACUGGAGCAGACUGCACGUGGCAAUGCAAAUGGGUCCUGAAAGUGCUGAGUAGACCGAGAAGGAAACCAACCAGGGUCUGUAACUCAAUCUGUAAAUUGAAAAUACUGACACCCAAAGCAAUAAAAAUGAAACAUCUGUGUGUACACACCUCCCCUGCCAUGGCUUAUCACCCAGGAGGUGCUUAACCUGGCUUGAGAUCUUUCAGAGUCAAGUAAGUAAAUACCAGAUAUUGGCAUUGCCCCUGUUUUGUUUGCAUGUUACAUGACUUGUAUUUCCUGGCUGGUUCCUAGGUGGGUCUGAGAGCUGGUCAUCAACCUUUGAACCAUCAUCACUCUUUCCAGGGGUCAGGAAAGAGAAGCCUAAAUUGUAAAUGUGGUUCUGGUUCCCCUGAGCUUCUCACGGCAAUCCAUGCUCAUCUUUAGGGAUGGCAUACUUUCUGGAGUUCCUCUAUGUUUUCAAGUAAUUUAAGCAUCCAAAAUCCUCUCUUGGCCAGGUGCGGUGGAUCACACCUGUAAUCCCAGCAUUUUGGGAGGCCAAGGCAGGCAGAUAACUUGAGGCCAGGAGUUUGAGACCAGUCUGGCCAACAUGGCGAAAUCCCUUUUCUACUAAAAAUACAAAAGUUAGCUGAACGUGGUGGUGGGCACCUGUAGUCCCAGCUACUCAGGAGGCUGAGGCUGGAGAAUCACUGGAACCCGGGAGGCGGAGGUUGCAGUGAGCUGAGAUUAUGCCACUGCACUCCAGCCUGGGCAACACAGCGAGACUCCAUCUCAAACAAAAACAAAAACAAAGUCCUCUCUCUACUCUGCUCUUUGCAAUCUUCUUGUUUAUAUAAUGUCCGUGUUUCUCCUUCAACUCUUUAGCUAGAAUCAUGGACAUUCUGCCUCAGCAGAUGUCCCACGAACCUUGCUCUGAAAAUGACUGGUGACUGGUAGCCAAGAUUUUUUUGACCAUGGGUUUUUGAAAAGCCAACAGAUUUUUUGUGCCAAGGCUGAUUUUCCUCUAUAUCAAAAAAGUGCUGUUUUUAAACCUAGCACAGAGAGAAGCCUUUUCAUGCCCCCCCACACACAGUGGACUCUCCUGGAGCCUGUUGAUACCAAGUCCCAGUGCAGACAGAAAGGACACCUGAGGGGUUUCCUCAGCCCCAGAGGAUACCAGCAGCCUCACAGACAGACUGCGGGCCCAGAACGGAGCAGCCACAGGAGCAUCAUCCUGCAGUACCUUCCUCUGGUCCCUUUCCCCAACCCACGAGCAGCUUCUUGCCCUCACAUUGAUAAGAACAAGUCACUGGUGUCCAGAGCACAGAGUGGUGUGAAGGAGUGCAGACUCUGGGGUCAGAGUGUCCAGGUGUGAAGCAUCUUAACUGUGCCCCCCACCCCCCAGCUGUGUAACCUUGGGCAAGUUCUUUAACCUCUGUGUGCCUCAAUUUCCCCAUAUGCAAAACAAGACUAAAUUAUUGUGAAGGUACAGUGAGCUCAUACAGAUAGAGACCAGCGCCAACCCGGCAUGGAGGUGAGUGAUCAGGCACAUUGGCUGCUGUUCUGUGGUUGAGGAAUGAUUAAGGAACCAAGCAGAAAAUGUUCCAAGCAAUGACCCUUUCUAUGCAAGAAACCCUUGCUAUGCUGUCAUGGGUCCGGCGCAGUGGGAUGGGAAGGAGAGACGAUACCUCUACAGCGGGGCUGCUCCCCUGUCCAGGUGCCAUUGGGAAGACACACGAUGCUGCUGGGCCCAACCAGCUGGAACCCAGGGUUGCAGGUAAAAUGGACUUCGUGAUCCACUAAGUACUUGCUUCCAAACUUUCUGCCAUCUGUGGGGGUGUUCAGAUCCGGGCAGGAAACUGUAAGGAGAGAUGGAAGGAUUACGAGCUCCUCAUCCUGGACCACAGCCCUUAGACAUUACUGAAUUGCAGGACUUCCCAUCUUGAAGUGCCCUCUGUUGCAUGCCUGCUGCAGGCUGUGCACUGUGCUGGUCAUUCUGCAUGCUGCGUCUCAUCAAGUCCCCAGAGCUCUGUUGGGGAUGGGUGGUACGAUGCCUGCUUAGCAAAAGGUGAUGAGACUGGGGCUCAGAGACACUAAGUGCUGUGUGCAAGGCCUCGAAGCAUGGGAGGCCCACCCUGCAAGGAUCCGCCUCAUCACUGCCACUUACUCACUCUGAUUUUCUGGAGCUCCAACUCCACUGGGUUUCUUUAGGUCUCCUGAACAGGCCAGGCUCAGCCCCAGCUCCAGGCCUGGGAUUUUGCCCUUCUCUCUGCCUAGAAUGUUCUUUCCUCAGAGCUUCCACAACUGGCUCCUUCUCACUCUCCAGGUCUCCACUCAUAUGCCACCACCUCCCCGCAUGUUCCCUGGCCACCGUGCCUAACCCAGACCUCCCCAGACACUCUUCCCCAGGCGCUCACUCUGCUCUCUUCUCAGUAUUUGUAACCAUCCGAAUUUUCUUAUUGACUUGCUUCUUUCUACGUGUGUUGUCAGUUCUCUCCAUCAGAAUGCAUCUGGCCUAUGUUCCUGUGUAUCCCCAGGACCAGCCCACUGCCUGGCACACAGUGAAUACUGGAUAAAUCAUAAAUCAUUCUUGAACAAAUUAAUGAAUGGAGCCUUAUCUAUUGCAUCUUUACUAUGUGCCAGGCACUAUAUUAGGCACUUGGGCUAGAUCCAUGAACAAAAUAGACAAAACCCAACCCUCAGGAAGCCCACCUUCAACAGGGGAGAUAAUAAGCAGUGGUGAAGGGUGGGGCCAUGUAGAAAAUGAAAGCAGGGAAUGGUGCUGGAGAUGCCGGAGAGAGGGGAUCAUUUUGAAUACAGUGGUCAGGGCAGGCCUCACCAGAAUGAGUUGAAGGUGAAGGCAUAGCCAGACAGAUGUCUGAGGAGGGUAGAGGGACAGCUGAUCAAACAUCCUGAGAUGGGGAUGUGCCUGGCAGGUCUGAGGAAUGUCAAGGAGGCAACAGGACUGGAAUAGAGUGGACGAGGUGGAAAGUAGUUAGACAUGAGUCAGGCAACAGGAACAAGACGGCUCAGAGUUACACGGGGCAUUGGAAAGAAAACAAAAAGGCCAUGCAACUUGUUCUCCGUGUGAGACCAGGCCACUGGAGGUUUGAGCUCAGGCAGGAAGCAGCCUGACUCUCAGCAGCACUCCUGCUGCGGUUUGAUUGUGAAGUGCCCAUACAAGAGGAAGGGGAGGGAAGCUCAGGACAGGGUAGUAGCUGAGCAUGAGGGACAUGGUUCGAAUCCUGGCUGCUCUGUGAAGAUUUCCCGAAGGACUGACGUGGUUGGAGAGAGACGGGGUGAAACUAGCCUGUUCCUCUUCUUUUUGCAACAGAGCAUCAUGCAUGGGCAACAAGCCAAUGCCCAAAGUUAGGAUGGCUUGGAUUUGGAUUCAGUUCAGACGGAAAUUCAGAGCCACUUCUAAAAUGCAUUCAAGUUUCCUCAUCUGGAGCAGGAAGCAAAGACACCCUGCCUGCCCCAUGGAGUUGGGGUGUGUAGAGCCCCAGUGAGGGCUUGGGCCUCACAGUGCCUUGGAAAGUGUGAGGCUUGGCUGGUGGUUAUUUCUGCAGCUGUGGAGCCAAGGAAAACAGGAACGGACUCAGUGCCAUUGAGAGCUGGAUUUGCCACCAUCAUCUCCGAGAAGGUAGGAAAUCCACCGCCUUCCCCAGGAAACUUCAACUCACUCAACAAAGACAACCCUUGAUAAAUGUGUCUGCAGUGAGUAAAUGAUGUCAGAUAUGCCACAGGCUCCUGACUUUGAAUGAGCAUGAUGACUGCCCCCUGCCCCCCAGCACCCUAAGAGACCGGAGGAAAACCAGCCACGCAUCUCUGGACCUUGGCGGUGUGAAAGCUGUUACAGGGCAAGCAGGAAAAAGUGCCCCUGUGUCUGUCAGAGUCCUGCCCUCAUGGGAGGGAGUCUGGGGUGCCCGCUGUAGCCUCAUCAGACAAGUGGAGCUUGUCCUCAGCAGCCCUUCCCUCCCAACUGCCCUGGUACUAACGGGGACUCCCUGGAGGGUGCACUUUCACGCCUGAAGCACUGGAGCCAACCUUGUUCAUGGACUGGAUCCAGUGUAUUGCACUGGCAUGGGCUGGGGAUGUGUGUGUGUGUGUGUGUGUGUGCACGCACAGAGGGUGUGGAGAAACUCAGUGCUUUCCACUCAACUCUGCUAUGAACUUAAAACUGCUCUAAAAAUUAUAUUAAAGUAAAAUCAAAAAUGAAAACAAAA